CCGCGACGUGUACAAAUUAGCUAUCAUUUUCUACUCGGGGGGUUUUUUUUUUUCCCCCCGUUGUUGUUCGUUCUUUUUUUUCUCUCCGCCGUCUCUAUCCGUCUCUGUCUCCGCGCGGCGCAUCUCUCACCGGCUCGUUCUGUCGCCCUGACGGCGUAAUUAAACGACUCUGUUGAGAGUGUGUCCUAAUUACGCGACGAGCUGCAGCGGACUUCGCCGUCGUCGCGUCAACAGACGAGACCGUGCCGCGCCCGCCUC